rnacentral:tRNA from 1 species
GGGAAGGUGGCCGAGUGGUUAUGGCGGAUGUCUCAAGUUUUCGAAAACUUUCGACUUGGAAUUAUCAGGUUGUUGCAAACAUCUGGAGCAAUCCGCGUGGGUUCGAGUCCCACCCUUCUCA